rnacentral:rRNA from 1 species
AUUGAACGCUGGCGGAAUGCUUUACACAUGCAAGUCGAACGGCAGCACGGACUUCGGUCUGGUGGCGAGUGGCGAACGGGUGAGUAAUGUAUCGGAACGUGCCCAGUCGUGGGGGAUAACGUAGUGAAAAUUACGCUAAUACCGCAUACGAUCUAUGGAUGAAAGCGGGGGAUCGCAAGAUCUCGCGCGAUUGGAGCGGCCGAUAUCAGAUUAGGUAGUUGGUGGGGUGAGGGCCCACCAAGCCAACGAUCUGUAGCUGGUCUGAGAGGACGACCAGCCACACUGGAACUGAGACACGGUCCAGACUCCUACGGGAGGCAGCAGUGGGGAAUUUUGGACAAUGGGCGAAAGCCUGAUCCAGCCAUUCCGCGUGCAGGAUGAAGGCCCACGGGUUGUAAACUGCUUUUGUACAGAACGAAAAGGUUUCUACUAAUACUAGGAGCUCAUGACGGUACUGUAAGAAUAAGCACCGGCUAACUACGUGCCAGCCGCCGCAGUAA